rnacentral:rRNA from 1 species
UACGAAGGGUGCUAGCGUUGUUCGGAAUCAUUGGGCGUAAAGCGUGCGUAGGCGGUUUGGUAAGUCGAAUGUGAAAGCCCAGAGCUUAACUUUGGAAUUGCAUUCGAAACUACUAGGCUAGAGUAUGGCGGGGGAUAGUGGAAUUCUUAGUGUAGGGGUGAAAUCCGUAGAUAUUAAGAGGAACACCAGUGGCGAAGGCGACUAUCUACACCAUUACUGACGCUGAGGUACGAAAGCGUGGGGAGCAAAC